rnacentral:rRNA from 1 species
CCGACGGUGAGAGGCGAAAGCUGGGGGAGCAAACCGGAUUAGAUACCCGGGUAGUCCCAGCUGUAAACGAUGCGCGUUAGGUGUGUCAGUGACCACGUGUCACUGAUGUGCCGAAGGGAAACCGUGAAACGCGCCGCCUGGGGAGUACGGUCGCAAGGCUGAGACUUAAAGGAAUUGGCGGGGGAGCACCACAACGGGUGGAGCCUGCGGUUUAAUCGGACUCAACGCCGGAAAUCUCACCGGAUAA